UAUCUCUGUAGAGUCUGCAUAUCAAUAAGCGGAGGAAAAGAAACUAACAAGGAUUCCCUUAGUAACGGCGAGUGAAGCGGGAAGAGCUCAAAUUUGAAAUCUUCAAGGUUUUACCUUGACGAAUUGUAGUUUAAAGAAGUGUUUUCUGUUGAAGUUUUGGUAAAAGUUCUUUGGAAUAGGACAUCAUAGAGGGUGAGAAUCCCGUAUUUGACCAUUAUUUUCAGCUGUGUGAUACACUUUCAAAGAGUCGGAUUGUUUGGGAAUGCAGUCCAAAAUGGGUGGUAAAUUUCAUCUAAAGCUAAAUAUUGGCGAGAGACCGAUAGCGAACAAGUACCGUGAGGGAAAGGUGAAAAGAACUUUGAAAAGAGAGUUAAACAGUACGUGAAAUUGUCAAAAGGGAAGCGUUUGACACCAGUGUUGUUUUCUCGAAAAUCAAUUAAAAAGAGUUUGAUUUUGUUGUGUAUUGACCUUAACAGCUUGCAUUUCAAUUUUCUUGCUUUUUUUAAUGCACUUUUCGUUUAACAAGUCAACAUCAGUUUCUUUUGUUGUAAAAGGUCAUUGGAAGGUGGCUUUCUUUUCGGAGAAAGUGUUUAUAGCCUUUGACUCCUGCAAUCGGAGAGACUGAGGUCUGCAGCGUAGAUCCUUCGGGGUUAGAUACAUUUGUGCUAAGUUAUAGCUUUUUAUAGACAACUUGUUGACUAUGAUUAGUCUUGUAGCUUACUCGCUUAUGCUAUUUUACCUACGCUUAGGAUGUUGAAGAUAUGCGCGACACG
rnacentral:rRNA from 1 species